CCGUGAUUCCCUUAGUCAGCGGCGAGCGAAGAGGGAUCGAACUCGAUGCCGAAUCGGGUCUUAAAGGCCUUGAGUUGUGGCACAAUCCGUACAGUGAAUGGUUUUCGGGAUCGGUGAAAUUCAAAUUGCAAAGCAAACCCAUUGUUGAAGCGAACCCUUCGUGCGAGUAUUGAGCCAAAGGAGGUGUUAGCCCAUUCAACCGACCACCCGAUAUCUCAUUGUGCGGUUCAAAGAGAGUAGCACUGUUUGGGAGUACAGUGUUAAGCGGCAGGUAUGUGUCUGCCAAAGUUAAAUACAGAUUGGGAAGACCGAUAGUGAACAAGUAGCGUGAGCGAAAGUUUGAAAAGCACUUUGGAAAGAGAGUGACAUAGAACCUGAAGUCGUGACAAUGACAAUGGAAGUGCCUCCAUUUUAUGUCAACACCGGCCCUGUCGCAUUUCUCCCCGCGUUUCCAACCGCGGUGGCAACAAGUGUGGAAAGGGGACCGGUGAAAUGAGCUGAGAUAAAGUUAGGCGGACUGUUCGCAGCGCCCGUUUAGCUUCUCAGUGGACUCAAUUGUUGGCGAAUUGAAAAUGGGGUGCCUCCACCCGUCUUGAAACACGGACCAAGGAGUCAAACAGACACGCAAGGGAGAAGAUAUUGUUGCCAGUACUUCUCUCGUACUGAAAGGGUGAUUACUAUGGUGUGCACACUUGCCCAACACCAACCGGCCCCUUGUGGGUUGAGUUUGAGUGUGCCUGUUUGGACCCGAAAGGUGGUGAACUAUGCCUGAACAAGGUGAAGCCCGGGGAAACCCAGGUGGAAGCCUGUAGCGAUGCUGACGUGCAAAUCGCUCGCACGAUUUGGGUAUCGGAGCGAAAGACUCAUCGAACCACCUAGUAGCUGGUUCACAUCGAAGUUUCCCUCAGGAUAGCUGGUGCUACAUUAGUAUUGUGCGGUAAAGCAAAUGAUUAGAGGCAUUGGUGUUCUUGCAAUAUCGACCUAUUCUCAAACUUUAAAUGUGCAAAGAAACAGUCGCUUACCUAAUCGGAAGCGCUGAAUAAAAGAAUUUAGGCACCAAGUGGGCCUUCUUCGGUAAGCGGAGCAGGCGAUGCGGAAUGAACCGCUAGAGGAUAUGUGGAGUCAAAACUUCUGGGCUCAUU
rnacentral:rRNA from 1 species